CCAGCAACACAGGCACGAGAGCGGCUGGGUGUGGAACGGAGGCGCACCGCACGCACUGCAUGCCCAGCCGACACCCGCGCGGACCCCGGCCGCGGCCCCCCGGCGCCCCUCGGUGCCCGAGCCCCCAGCCCGCGAGCCUCACCAGACAGCCGGUAACUUUCCAGGUCCGUUUUCACUGCAGGCUCUCUCCCGCCUCGCCUUCACUCCCAGAGCGCAAACAGGCGCACGUACCCCGGACGUGCUCUCCUCUGUCACACCGGUCCCCUUCUAGAAGACAUGUGACCCUGGAGCAGCUUGGCGACGCGCUCUUCCCGGACUCUGGAGCCAUAACUUGUAUCGAGUUUGCCAGUUCACAUGAUGCUGGGGGCAGUGGUUUGAACCGAGUUUCAAGGGACCUUCGGAAUCUCUAGGUCCUCUGGCAAGGAGCUUUCUUGAUCACCCAAGUUGGAUUGCAUUCUUUGAGGAGUCGAUACUUAAACAAAAAAGGAGAAGGUGGCAGUGGAUGCUGGGUAGCCAAUCCAGAGUCUGCUACAGGAGCUCAGGGAUGACGCCUCUGAAAUAAAUGACAUUUAAACUUAAGAUGAGUAACAGCAAGAAGUAAGGAGGACGCACCUUCAGGCAGAGGGAGUCGCGUGUGUGGUCUGACCACGCCACCUGUUAAAGGUGUACAUGAAAUUCCUCAUUUACUACGUCGACCCAUAAAGGAACUGAGCUGGCUCAUCUUUGAAAUGCCAUUCAAGCAAGGAAAAUGGAACACUGGAAAUCUUGCUGGGAACCCCUGCAGCAUAGGGGCAGAGAACUUAGUGGAGGAAUGCCAGCUGAUGUUACCAGCUGCAUGUCAGAGUGUGGCUACCAACGUGACAUCACUAAAUGUGGGGCUGGGAAGAGAGGAGCAAAGUAGCUCUCAGAAGCCAGUAUAAGCAUCUCCAGGACACCACUGAAGUGAAAAUUGGAAGCAAUAUAGAAGGCACCAAAAUGUUCUGCCUUUUCUUUGUCUUGGAUCACUGGUUAUGGAGGAAGCCAGAUGCCAUGUUGUGAGCCGUCCUAUGGAAAGGUCCACGUGGCAAGAAACUGAGGCCUCCAGCCAACAGCCAAAGGCCUAGGCUUGGGAGGGAUCCUGCAGCCCCAGUCAAGGCUUCAAAUGACAGCACCCUUGUGGCUACAAUCUUAUGAGAGACCUUGAGCUGUUCCCAGGUUCUUGAACCAUGUGUUGUUUUAAGAUGCUAAUUUCCUUAAGACAAUUUGUUACACAGUAACAGCCAACUAAUAUACCUGGCCAGAAGGAUGCUUUUAGAAAUUUGAAUCUAAAUGCUUUGGGAUUGGGAAAAUAUCUCCCAAUUUGUCACAGACUCUUAUCUCUACCCACCUCAGGCUUUCACCCAGUUCAUAGAGACAUCUGAGCUGAAAAUACCUGUAUGACUUUCAUCAGAUAUUCAAUGGAAGUUGCGUAUUUUAAAGAAUUGACCCAGGCCAUAUGUUUUUCUAAUUCAAGCCAAAAAGAAAACAAGUUUGGCUAUAAAAAAUGUUUGGGAAACGCAGACAUGAGCUAAUUCCUACUCCUAUUGCAUCCUGACAUCUUAAAGUCUAUAGGGUGUGCUUCAUGAAAGAACUCUGUUUAACUUUCUUUAGUCUAAUUUUUAGUCUAAUCUUGGUCUAAUAUUUCCCAAAAUUUAGUUAGUUACCUUUCAUUUCUUUGUUUCUUUCAUCCUUCAUUGCAUGAUAGCUCUCACCAUACCAUGGAACACUUCAAGAAAUGCUGUGCCACUUGCAUAUCAGAGCUCCUAAAAUUGUGAGGUUUGCAACAUCACCCAUGGUGGACUAACAGAGACAUGAAUUAGAGUCUUAGCUUUUUUGUGCUAAGUGAAUAGCUAGCGCAAAGUGAACAGCUAGAGUCCUGUCUGACCUGGUGUCCUAGGAAUUUGCCUUGCUUGCUUUUUUAUUAUAAUCCAUUGCCAAAUACAGGUGCAUAGAGGAGUCAUUCUUUAAGCAUUAAAUUGCUACCAUACAUCCUGCCUAGUGCCUGGCUGUCACUCAAGGAAGCAGAAACUGGCACUUGGAGUAGAUCACCCAGGAACAGGGGCAGCCAGGUGUGGGUUUCCUGAUUGGUGGCAAGGCAGGCAACCUGAAGCAUACCUCAGAAGGAAGAAGUUGAAUGACACCAGAGACCAUCAGUCCUCUUUUUCCAAUGGGAGAGACUUAGAAGGGCUACUAUAGCUUAGAAGAAUUGUUAAUGGUAUUCAUUUGCUCCCAUCUGUAUCCAUAGGUGGCCUUUGUGGAGAGAAAGAAGGAAAUGUAUGGACAUUGCCAUUUUCCAUCUUCUGACAAAGAGUGUCCUCUUCUUCUCCAAGUGCUUUGCUGGGUUGAGUUGUCUUAGUUUGAAUUCCUCCUGAGGCAGACCCUGAGACAAGAUUCCAGUGUAAGUAGUUUAGUGAGGUGGUGGUGCCAGGAAACCCUGUAGAGUGCAGAGAAGAGAACAAGAGGGAAAAGGAAGCCAGUGAAGAGGAAAGAUCAAGCCAGUUACCACCGCAAGCAAGUGGCACUUAUCCCCACUGGGAGCUCUAGGAGUCAAUGAGGACUCAGCUCAGAGUUUUCCCUGCAGGGAGCUGGGCAUUUUGUCCACAAACUCCUAUGAGUGAUUGGAGGGAAAUAACUCCCCUUUUUGAGGGGCAAUAAUUCCCCUUUACUGCCAGCCUCUCCUGGCAGUCAGAGAGCCUGCAGGCAAGGACCAAUGGUGCCAACAGUUAGAAGUCAGGCCUGGGUGCAUGGAAAUGGUAAAUUGUCUGCUACAAAAGUCAAUUUCUGUCUUUCCUGAUGGCUUCCUCUUUCACUUUCAUUUAUGCUUGGUCUCUUUCCCUAAUCCCUCUAGUUCUUCUAAGUCACUGAGUGCCUCUUUCUAGAAGAGCCAAGGCUCACCUGUCUACCUGAUCUUUCAGGCAAACUUACCUGCACUUCUGCGAAGUUUUGGUCAGUCUCCUCCGUGUCCUUUUCUACCCCCGUUGGACUCUGUUAGGAGUCUGAGAUGCAAUUAGAUAUCACAUGCAGGAUAGUUAAUAGAAAUCUAGUUUCUUCACAAGCAUGCAUAUUUUAAUAACUUUUGGUAGCAACCAACCACUUUGAAAACUUGACCGUUGCUGUUUCCCUGAUAAGCUAUUCAAUUUAAUUUACUUGGUUGUAGUAACCAUUUGGUAGUUAAUCAAAGAGGAAAAAUAUUUGAAUCACUUAAGUAUGUGCAGACAUUUUCUCUUCAUAUUGACUUUAAUCACAAGUCACUUUCUUUCUGUUAAACAUCAGGUAAGCAAAUUUUCCAAGUCUGAUAUAUAAAACCUCUGAAUUCCCAUUUCUUCAUAGUUAACUAAAAGUUGAGACUGUUGCUUCAAAUCUUGCUGGGUUUUGUUUUUUUUUUUUUUUUUUGCUGAUGAGAUAAAUGAUUUUAUGUGUCCUAUGACUUUAGAAAGAUCACACUGUUUAUUCACAUUAACUAUUACAUUUUGGUUAAUAGUUAAAGUAAAAAUGUCCACCCAGCCUUUCCUCCCUCCAAGACUUUGCUGGGAUUCAAGGCAGGCCACCCCCAAAUGUACCUCAAUGGCAUAGUGAUUAUUUUUAAUUAAAGGAAUUUAAGAAAUGGCCAACACAAGAGGGACACCUUGACCCUCCUUUCCGUCGCCCUGAAACAAGAAUUAAAUCUCUCAUGGGAAAGCCACACUCUUUGCAUCUGGAGGUAGAAGGGCACCCUUAAUUGCCAGAGACAGGGAAUUAGGGCCAAGAAGCUUACAUAAACAAACACUGUUACUUCUUUAAUCUACUGCCUCAAGCCCAAUCUCUGUUUAGAUUCUUCACUAAUUGAGCUCUCAAAACCUACGUUUCUUUAUGCUGUCAAUUUCUCACAAAUUUAUAUUUUGUCUCUCUAAAAAGAAUAAAAGCUGCCUGCUUUGGCCACUUCUUAGGUCCCAUUUCUAUGAGACCUCCAUGUGCAUGAAUUAAAAUGUUUCUUUUUGCACUGUUA